UUGAGUGAAAAUCUUAUUUGUCCCUCGUAUUGGUAAAUAAUUAUCAAAAUGCUUCAUAAACCCUCGAUGAAGCUGCAAGGUAAACUCGAACUGCACAUUUGUGAAGUCUAAAGCAGUAACUGGAGGAACCUGUGGUGAGUAAUUGCGCAAAGUAGAGAGAGAGAGAGAGAGUGUGUGUGAUAUCACGCGACAAAGAAGAAUAGAAUGGCACCGGCGGGCAAAGUAGGGGACUGGGCAUUCAAGGCGUUCACGGCGGGUCUCGGUGUGGCCACCAUUUAUCUCACCGCCACUUUCUCCGUCAACGUCUACCGCGGCCUCUCCUGGCACUCUGCCCAAUCGAAAUCUGAAAAGGUGGGAUCCGAUCAUCAAAAGUCCGAAUGAAGUAUUCAUGCAGUUCAAUUUGUAAGCUGCUUUUAGGAAUUAAACCUACAUUAUGAAGCCACUUUAUUUGGUUGAUAAUAGAAUAACUCGUGAAGUUCCUGAGCUUGUACGUGUAACUGGCAAACCUUACCUGAAUUGUACCAAAAAAGGUAUUUCAUGAAUCGUUGGACAUGCCUCUUUUAAUCGACUUUUCAAAGCUAUUUUUGUGUGUUCUCUCUUUGUCAGUGCUCAUUCGUUUGAUUUUCGUA